CUCGAUGGAGAGCUAGAAGAUUAUUUAAACCACUAAGGUGCAGGAGUAAUGCUAGUGUCAAUAAAAAAUAUCGAUAUAUACAUUGUCAUUCUGUCGUUAACGAUCAAAAAAAUUUACAUACCAUUGCAUAUGAAAGCUUUGAUAGGGUAGAUCAAAAUAAAAUAUCCGACUCAAGUUUGAACACAUAUACAUCAAUAGAUGAACACGAU
rnacentral:lncRNA from 1 species